UACGGAGGGUGCAAGCGUUAAUCGGAAUUACUGGGCGUAAAGCGUGCGCAGGCGGUUUGUUAAGUCUGUUGUGAAUUCCCCGAGCCCAACUUGGGAAUUGCAAUGGAUACUGGCAGGCUGGAGUAUGGUAGAGGAAGGUGGAAUUCCCGGUGUAGCAGUGAAAUGCGUAGAGAUCGGGAGGAACACCAGUGGCGAAGGCGGCCUUCUGGACCAAUACUGACGCUCAUGCACGAAAGCGUGGGGAGCAAACAGG
rnacentral:rRNA from 1 species